rnacentral:rRNA from 1 species
UACGUAGGGUGCAAGCGUUGUCCGGAAUUAUUGGGCGUAAAGAGCUCGUAGGCGGUUUGUCGCGUCUGCUGUGAAAACUCGGGGCUUAACCCCGGGCCUGCAGUGGGUACGGGCAGACUAGAGUGCAGAAGGGGCAACUGGAAUUCUCGGUGUAGCGGUGAAAUGCGUAGAUAUCGAGAGGAACACCUGCGGCGAAGGCGGGUUGCUGGGCUGACACUGACGCUGAAGCGCGAAAGCUAGGGGAGCGAACGGG